rnacentral:rRNA from 1 species
UACGAAGGGGACUAGCGUUGUUCGGAAUCACUGGGCGUAAAGCGCACGUAGGCGGAUUUGUAAGUCAGGGGUGAAAUCCCGGGGCUCAACCUCGGAACUGCCUUUGAUACUGCGAAUCUUGAGUCCGAUAGAGGUGGGUGGAAUUCCUAGUGUAGAGGUGAAAUUCGUAGAUAUUAGGAAGAACACCAGUGGCGAAGGCGGCCCACUGGAUCGGUACUGACGCUGAGGUGCGAAAGCGUGGGGAGCGAACAGG